AGCUUCCUUCUGAUCUGACGUUAGCUGAAAGGAUGUUUCACACUGGAUUGAAAGCUUAAAAGCUGAUGAACAAGGACGUUGUCUUGCAGCAGCAAAGAAGGAGGCAUUAUAUGACUGGGAGAAGCAGGAGAGGACCAUGUCCAUCUUUUGCAUAUGCUGGCCGCCUUCCUACAUACUCAGAAAGUGUUCCUGUCAAUUCACUGGUUGCUGUUAAGGGGACAUCUCUUCAAGAUCAGAAGAGUCCAUCUUGGAUCUCCGGUAUCUUGUAUGCGUGACUCCUAGUCGGCUCCUGACCGACCACCGAGUACCCACCGGAGCAAGGCCACAACAAUUCAGAUGAUGGCAACUGCUUGUAUCGUGAUGCUAGGGGCAAUGGUGAGGCUAUCAGCUGGCCGAGUAUGAUUCUCCGUGUUGGAGCAAGUACUGUGUUUCCUUGUUGGUACCAAUUCUAUCUGAACAGAGGAGAACUUAUAGACAACGCCCAACGAUGACUUUGAUGCGGACCAAAUGAUGUUCAAAAUCCUUGGUUUGAUCCCUAAAGCUUCUAGUUUUCAGAAGUGGUAGCACCAGAACUAGAGAGAUCUGAUGAACCAUCUCCAGUGUUGGUUGAAGUCACUAACUUGGAAGAGGGUAUAGUUAUCCAGUUUUUUUUACGCACAUCCUGUUGUACCUUCUGUUAAACCGGGAAAUAAACUCUGAUUUAUCACUUAAA